rnacentral:rRNA from 1 species
UAUGCUCGGCCGGUAUGAGGCCUGGCUUUCGCGGCCGGCUGAAGUAUUUUUUUCACCCAUGUCUUUUGCGCACUUGUUGUUUCCUGGGCGGGUUCGCCCGCCACCAGGACCAAACCAUAAACCUUUUUUUCUUAUGCAGUUUCCAUCAGCGUCAGUAAAAACAAUGUAAUUAUUACAACUUUCAACAACGGAUCUCUUGGUUCUGGCAUCGAUGAAGAACGCAGCGAAAUGCGAUACGUAGUGUGAAUUGCAGAAUUCAGUGAAUCAUCGAAUCUUUGAACGCACAUUGCGCCCUUUGGUAUUCCAAAGGGCAUGCCUGUUCGAGCGUCAUUUGUACCUUCAAGCUUUGCUUGGUGUUGGGCGUUUUUUUGUCUCCCUCUUUCUGGGAGACUCGCCUUAAAACGAUUGGCAGCCGGCCUACUGGUUUCGGAGCGCAGCACAUUUUUUGCGCUUUGUAUCAGGAGAAAAGGACGGUACUCCAUCAAGACUCUACAUUUUUCACUUUUGACCUCGGAUCAGGUAGGGAUACCCGCUGAACUUAAGCAUAUCAAUAAGCCGGAGGAA